GAGUUCGGUGAACUCAAGAACCAAGUGUCAUUGUCUUCUGUGAACAUGCUUCCUGACACCUGCCCAGUUCUGCUGCUCCUCUUGAUGCUCGGAAAGAUCAAUGGAGAUUCAGUGACCCAGACUUCUGGCCUGGUUACUGUCAAAGAGGGGUUGCCUGUGAUUAUGAACUGCACCUAUCAGACUACUUUCCCAAAUAUUUUCCUUUACUGGUAUGUGCAACAUCUCAACAAAGCCCCUCAGCUGCUCCUGAGAAGCACCACAGACAACAAGAGGACAGAGCAGCAAGGGUUCCACGCCACUCUCCAUAAGAGCAGCAGCUCCUUCCACCUGGAGAAGUCCUCAGUGCAGCUGUCAGACUCUGCCCUGUACUACUGUGCUCUGAGUGACACAGUGAGGGAGAUGCAGGGGAAGCUGCACACAAACCAAGGUGCAGGAGGCUGAGGGGAGGGGCCCUGUGA